rnacentral:rRNA from 1 species
CGCGCAGGCGGUCUUGUCCGUCAGGUGUGAAAGCCCGGGGCUCAACCCCGGAAGUGCACUUGAAGCAGCAAGACUUGAAUACGGGAGAGGAGAGAGGAAUUCCUGGUGUAGAGGUGAAAUUCGUAGAUAUCAGGAGGAACACCGAUGGCGAAGGCAUCUCUCUGGACCGAUAUUGACGCUGAGGCGCGAAGGCGUGGGUAGCGAACAGGAUUAGAUACCCUGGUAGUCC